rnacentral:rRNA from 1 species
AAACGACUCUCGGCAACGGAUAUCUUGGCUCACGCAUCGAUGAAGAACGUAGCAAAAUGCGAUACUUGGUGUGAAUUGCAGAAUCCCGUGAACCAUCGAGUUUUUGAACGCAAGUUGCGCCCGAAGCCAUUCGGCCGAGGGCACAUCUGCCUGGGCGUCACGUC